CCUACGGGAGGCAGCAGUGGGGAAUUUUGGGCAAUGGGCGCAAGCCUGACCCAGCAACGCCGCGUGAAGGAAGAAGGCUUUCGGGUUGUAAACUUCUUUUCUGAGGGACGAAGAAAGUGACGGUACCUCAGGAAUAAGCCGCGGCUAACUACGUGCCAGCAGCCGCGGUAAUACGUAGGUGGCAAGCGUUCUCCGGAUUUAUUGGGUGUCAAGGGCGUGUAGGCGGGAAAGCAAGUCAGAUGUGAAAACUCAGGGCUCAACCCUGGGCCGGCAUUUGAAACUGUUUUUCUUGAGUGCUGGAGAGGCAAUCGGAAUUCCGUGUGUAGCGGUGAAAUGCGUAGAUAUACGGAGGAACACCAGUGGCGAAGGCGGAUUGCUGGACAGUAACUGACGCUGAGGCGCGAAAGCGUGGGGAGCAAACAGGAUUAGAUACCCGAGUAGUC
rnacentral:rRNA from 1 species